rnacentral:rRNA from 1 species
UACGGGGGGGGCAAGCGUUGUUCGGAAUUACUGGGCGUAAAGGGCUCGUAGGCGGCCAACUAAGUCCGACGUGAAAUCCCCAGGCUUAACCUGGGAACUGCGUCGGAUACUGGAUGGCUUGAAUUCGGGAGAGGGAUGCAGAAUUCCAGGUGUAGCGGUGAAAUGCGUAGAUAUCUGGAGGAAUACCGGUGGCGAAGGCGGCUCACUGGUCCGGUACUGACGCUGAGGUGCGAAAGCGUGGGGAGCAAACAGG